rnacentral:lncRNA from 1 species
AGAAUUUCAUUUCAUCCAAACAAUGGGCGUUGAAAUGUUAGUGCCUCUUGAUUCAAAAUUUUCUUUAUUUGAAUAUUAUGUGUUUAGAAGUGCAAAUUUGUAUAAUUGAAUCUUCGCUCCAAUUUUAUAUUUCAUUUUUUGUGACUUUAUGCAGAACUUGGAAUCAGCUUUUCACAUAACAUGGAUGAUGAAUAUAAGAAGCUCGUACACAAAUUACUCCACCAAGGUAUAUACAAAUUAAAAUCAUAACUUGCGUCAAUAUAGAAUAAAUUAUUUUUUAGCACAUAACUUUGACAUAAUAAUUUUUCUCAUAAUUUAUAAAAUAUUGUACAGAUUUAUGCUACAUGGCAAUCAACAACUAAUAUUACUUCCAAGAAGGCAAGACCAACAUAUG